UGCUUGUAAACCUUUAAUCGUUUUUGUUUGGUCAGAACUUAAAUCCUCACUUUAACUUUUUGAAAUUAAAUGUCUUUCAAGUCCUGAAUCCAAUCCGGAACAAGAUUAAAAUAACAAGAUGUAUCCAAAUAUAGGACGGCUUCAAUUAAAAUACAUUUAAAAAAAUAUUAAAUAUAUCAAAUCCUCAAAACAACUCAAACACAGGCUGAGAACCAAACACAGGACAGGAAGUGAAAGCAGGCGGGACGACAAAAUAAAAGUUGUCUUAGACGGAAACAUUUAGCUGAAAAUGAAAAUGCAGAAUAAAAAGUCAGACAUCAAACAUGCGUUAAGGAAAAGUGCUGCCAAUAAACCACAGUUAUUCCUAUAUCAUGUGCACAUCAAAAAUACUAAAAUAAAUUGGUCUUCCUCCUUAAGUGGUCGAACCCGGGGCUUCUAGUGGUCUGGUUUUCGUGCUGCACCAUUCAGUCUAACAGUCACGGAGACAUUCUCUCUUUGUUUGGGGGGUUGUUACUGUGGCGGUGACGUGUGCUCUGUAACAUCCCGACAGCGAUGCACACGGCCAAUCAGCAAAUCAGAGAGCAGCAGCUGUGUGGUUAGUCUUACAGGUGAGACAAGGACCACAGGAUGAAAACUCACAGGUCCACCAAAAACACAAAGCAGCAGCAGAAACGGGUCCAAAGUCCAUCUGGUUUUAUGGAAGAGACUUUAGCAGGUGUAGCUCCUCCCACAGCCUCAGUCCAUGAUGCUUGGUUUCUGGGUUCACAGACAUGAGAGUGCUGAUCCAGGACUGUGGAUGGUCUUACGGGAUCAUCCUGGAUCCCAGAAGAUCACCACAACCCGAAUCCAAAUAUCAAUUCAAAGAGGCAACAUGGGACCAAAUGUGAAUCAGUGUGACGGUGAUUAUCAUCCCAAACCCAACCCCGGCAGUCUGACCCCAAUCCAGAUCCAGCUCGCAAUCAUGAAUGUAGGAUAACAGAGCUAAGUACUGAUGGGCCCAAAUCAAGUGACUUCAGAGGCAGAGGAGCAGUCUGUAGGUCAGCCUGCAGAUCUGAAGGUCUGUAAGUCAGUCUCUGUAGGCCUGUAAGUAGAUCUGGAAGUCUGUAGGUCAGUCUCUGAAGGUCUGUAAGUAGAUCUGUAGGUCUGUAGGUCAGCCUGCAGAUCUGAAGAUCUGUAAGUCAGUCUCUGUAGGCCUGUAAAUAGAUCUGUAGGUCAGUCUCUGAAGAUCUGUAAGUAGAUCUGUAGGUCUGUAGGUCAGCCUGCAGAUCUGAAGGUCUGUAAGUCAGUCUCUGUAGGCCUGUAAAUAGAUCUGUAGGUCAGUCUCUGAAGGUCUGUAAGUAGAUCUGUAGGUCAGUCUCUGUAGGUCUGUAAAUAGAUCUGUCGGUCUGUAGGUCAGCCUGCAGAUCUGAAGGUAGGUCAGUCUCUGUAGGUCUGUGUGUAGAUAUGUAGGUCAGUCUCUGAAGGUCUGUAAGUAGAUCUGUAGGUAAGUCUCUGUAGGUCUGUAAGUAGAUCUGUAGGUCUGUAGGUCAGUCUCUGUAGGUCUGUAAGUAGGUCUGUAGGUCAGCCUGCAGAUCUGAAGGUCUGUAAGUCAGUCUCUGUAGGCCUGUAAGUAGAUCUGGAAGUCUGUAGGUCAGUCUCUGAAGGUCUGUAAGUAGAACUGUAGGUCUGUAGGUCAGCCUGCAGAUCUGAAGGUCUGUAAGUCAGUCUCUGUAGGCCUGUAAAUAGAUCUGUAGGUCAGUCUCUGAAGAUCUGUAAGUAGAUCUGUAGGUCUGUAGGUCAGCCUGCAGAUCUGAAGGUCUGUAAGUCAGUCUCUGUAGGCCUGUAAACAGAUCUGUAGGUCAGUCUCUGAAGGUCUGUAAGUAGAUCUGUAGGUCAGUCUCUGUAGGUCUGUAAGUAGAUCUGUAGGUCGGUCUCUGUAGGGCUGUAAGCAGAUCUGGAAGUCUGUAGGUCAGUUUCUGUAGGCCUGUGAGUAGAUAUGUAGGUCAGUCUCUGAAGGUCUGUAAGUAGAUCUGUAGGUCGGUCUCUGUAGGGCUGGAAGUCUGUAGGUCAAUCUCUGUAGGUUUGUGAGUAGAUAUGUAGGUCAGUCUCUGUAGGUCUGUAAGUAGAUCUGUAGGUCAGUCUCUGUAGGGCUGUAAGUAGAUCUGGAAGUCUGUCUCUGUAGGUCUGUAAGAAGAUCUGUAGGUCAGUCUCUGAAGGUCUGUAAGUAGAUCUCUAGGUCAAUCUGUAGGUCUGUAGGUCAGUCUCUGUAGGUCUGUAAGUAGGUCAGUCUCUGAAGAUCUGUAGGUCAGUCUCUGAAGAUCUGCAAGUAGAUCUGUAGGUCUGUAGGUCAGCCUGCAGAUCUGAAGGUCUGUAAGUCAGUCUCUGUAGGCCUGUAAACAGAUCUGUAGGUCAGUCUCUGAAGGUCUGUAAGUAGAUCUGUAGGUCAGUCUCUGUAGGUCUGUAAGUAGAUCUGUAGGUCGGUCUCUGUAGGGCUGUAAGCAGAUCUGGAAGUCUGUAGGUCAGUUUCUGUAGGCCUGUGAGUAGAUAUGUAGGUCAGUCUCUGAAGGUCUGUAAGUAGAUCUGUAGGUCGGUCUCUGUAGGGCUAAAAGUCUGUAGGUCAAUCUCUGUAGGUCUGUGAGUAGAUAUGUAGGUCAGUCUCUGUAGGUCUGUAAGUAGAUCUGUAGGUCAGUCUCUGUAGGGCUGUAAGUAGAUCUGGAAGUCUGUCUCUGUAGGUCUGUAAGAAGAUCUGUAGGUCAGUCUCUGAAGGUCUGUAAGUAGAUCUCUAGGUCAGUCUCUGUAGGUCUGUAAGGAGAUCUGAAGGUCUAUAGGUCAGUCUCUAUAGGUCUGUAAGUAGAUCUGUAGGUCUGUCUCUGAAGGUCUGUAAGUAGAUCUGUAGGUCAGUCUGUGUAGAUCUGUAGGUCAGUCUCUGUACGUCUGUAAGUAGAUCUGGAAGUCUGUAGGUCAGUCUCUGAAGGUGUGUAAGUAGAUCUGUAGGUCAGUCUAAAGGUCUGUAGGUCAGUAUGAAG